rnacentral:lncRNA from 1 species
CAGGAAGAGAAACCCAACCCAGAGGCCACUGGGUGUGGAGGAGGGACAGAUAGGGCCCUCCGAGUUUCUGUAGACGCGGUUGCGCUAAGGGGAGAGCUGCCUUGAUAAGACCUCUUGGGCACCCAUACAACUGCCAAGGCACAGAAGGUGUUUGGCCGUCUUAGGCAUCCAUAGGAUGUUACACGGCACUAGUUCUUCCCAUCUAGGGUCUUCUUGGGGGGUGCUUUUCUCUCUUUGCCAGGAUCUGCUUGUGUCCUGGGGAUCGGGGGCUCCCUUUUACUAGCUCUGCCCCUUCCCCUGUGGGCCAGCUCCCAGGGGUAUCUUCAGCCAGUGCCAGCCACGACCUGAGCCCCACUUGGCUGUCUGACCUGGGCGCCUGCCCCCUGGGGCCGCUGCUCCCUCUCCAUUCUUCCAACUUGGCCAGAGCCUGGGCCUUAGUCUUUUUUCUUGGCCCUCUCAGCUCUCCCAAUGGCUUUGCCAUCUUUGGGUGUAGAUUCCCCCAACUCCACUCCAGGGUUCAUUCUGGAUCCCUGGCCUCUUGGGAGGAGGCGGACUCUGUCCUGCCCUGGCACAGAGAUGGUACCACAGGGGACUGCAGGAUGCUUAACUGGUGCCUCCCAAGGCCUGGGCAUUUUCCUGACCCCAGUCGGGCCGGCGUCUGGCAGAUGAAAUCCAGGUGCCCCCUGCAGGCUGGCCUGGCUACUGCCCCUGCCCCUGCCCCACCCUUCUAAGAGGGCAAAUUUUGUCUAACUCCAUCCUCUCAGAAUCAGAGCGCCUCAAAGCAAAGAGGGACUUCCUUCCUCAUCUUAUUUCCUUCUCUGGGAGCCUCUGGGAGGAAGUACAGCUUCGGGCGUUUCUCAACGUGUGACAUAGUCCCAUUGGCAGAACAUGACAUGAUUUUCGGGAUGUUUCAUUUAUCUAGUUACACUGUAUUUAAUGCGUAUCAGAGAAAAUAUAACUGGCAUGGCAAUCCCAUGAUUUCAUUUAUAUUAUUGUUUAGAAUGAGCUCCAAGUUUACAUCUGAACACAAGUGAGUAAAACUUUUAUUAUUUUAAAUUAAGAAAAUAUGAUAGAGUAAAAAUCUGGGAGGCUGCUGAAAAAUGUCAAAGUCGGGGAAUUCUGGGGUCCAAGAAGUUUGCUGGUAGAUGGAUCUGGAUGUGAAUCCUGCCUCUGUGACAUCAUCUAUGUCAUGGAUGUCAUUUCUACCAGAGGGCUCCUUUGGAAAAUUUGGAUAACAGCCCGUUAUGAAAGUCACCAGAGUAGGUAUCUCUAUCCGCCUGGCCAUUUAGCCUGUGGCACAGCCUAGAUGCCCAAUAAAUAGUAGCUCUAUUUUACCAUGAUCAUUCAUUCCUGGGUGUCUGACCUGUGCUCUGAGAGAAUCAGUGGUUCCUUCCAGAGCCUCUGAUCUUUUUCUUGGGAUCCUUUUUCUUGUGUGGCUUUCCACCCCCCACCACAUGUGUCUGAUAGCCUUGAAGGUUUUCCAGGACUGUCAUCUCCCCAACUUUCAACUGAGCUACCGCAAUAUAUAGCUGCCUGCCUCUACCUUCCACCUCCCAGCUGGCCUCACCUGCUGGGGGCCUGACUCCUCCCCCCCCGGCCAAGUCCCCUCCAAGCUCAUGCCCAGACCUUUUUUGGACACUACCCACCUGCUCCUCUGUCAUCAGGCACUCAGCUACAGGCAUUUCCCUCCCCAGCCCCCACCCAUUGGUGACAUGUCAGGCCUCUUCAUGAUCGCUCUGUGACUCUGAGUUCUGCUAUUUGAAUCCGUAUGGGAAUAAAGUUCCCUGGCUUUCAUACCUUUCUGGGAGGGGGCAUUCAGGAAACUCAGAUGCUGGGGUUUGAGACCAAAAACUGGCCUUCCUUUUCGACCAAUAGUUCCGACUAUUUCUGGGUAAGUGGACAGGGGAUCCCAGCUGCCUUCCAGCUUUCAGACUGGAGUGACAACAAUUUAAGAGCUGUAAAAAUUGGGAAUGGGGUUCAAGACCAUUUCUGAUGGUAUUUCCAGAUAGAGAAUCUCUUUCUCUGGCUGGCUGGAAAAGACCAACCUAAUGUGUGGGCAAGUGGGUGAAACAGGUCUCUCUCUGGCUGAGCCCUGGGAAUGAUCAGAAUCACUAGACGUCAAAGCAAAUCACUAGACGUCACCCAUUACUCUCUUUGACUGCCUCCUCCUCCCCAGUGCUCUUUCUGACCAUCUCAGUUAGAACCGAAUGAACCUCGCUAAACCCAGACACUUUUCAUCCCAAGCCAGGAGUGGUGGAAGAAGCCCCAGGGACUGGGUGAAUGACGGAGCCUCAGUUGUGAAACGACCAUUUAUUGAGGGGCCCUCCAUGGAGCCUAGAGCUCACUGCAAGACAGGAAAUGAGAGGGGGCUCUGCCACCACCCCCUUACCCCAACGCAGGAAAGAGGAUGCAAUGAAUCCCAACAAGACCAGCUCAAACUUGGCUUUGGAAGCACUGAAGCAAUUCUCUACGUUCAUAAACAGUCUGCUACCCCAGCCAGGGACAGACGCUUGCUUGGAGGACGGAGCACAAGCAGAGCAGCAGAAUGACAGAGUGACAGGAUGAGAGAGGCAGAGGGACCCAGAAAGAUCCUGUCCCCCAUGCCAAGUGACACAGAAGAAAAAAAUAAUGCUGGAGGUGGCUCUGGGAAAUGUUCAGGGGGCAGGAUGGGUUUGGAAGGGGGGGCUGUGCUAAGGUGAAGAGGGAAAGGGCAGGAGAAAGAUGGCGGGGGCUGGAGGGGGGAGGGGUGUGGUCAGCAAGUGGCCAAGGUCCCUGCGCGGUGGAGGCAGACAGACCUCAUCGCAUUCCCAAACUGGUAGAAACCUGGGUCGGGGUCAGGCAGAGGAUCCCAUAGGUGAGAGAGAUCAACCACAGUUCCAGGGAGGGAGAGUCAGAGCCUUUCUGUGAACUAUGGGGAAAUGGCUGACCACUCCGCCUCUGGAUGGAUAGAUACAUGGACAGCUGGUUUAAGUUUUGACAAAGAAAAACCCCUCCUGGAACCUCAGUCUGGAAUACAACUGUAGAACCAAUUAAGACUGGAGUAGGAAGCUGGAAAGAAGACGUGGGACAGCCAACCCACU